rnacentral:rRNA from 1 species
GACGAACGCUGGCGGCGUGCCUAAUACAUGCAAGUAGAACGCUGAAGAGAGGAGCUUACUCUUCUUGGAUGAGUUGCGAACGGGUGAGUAACGCGUAGGUAACCUGCCUUGUAGCGGGGGAUAACUAUUGGAAACGAUAGCUAAUACCGCAUAACAAUGGAUGACACAUGUCAUUUAUUUGAAAGGGGCAAUUGCUCCACUACAAGAUGGACCUGCGUUGUAUUAGCUAGUAGGUGAGGUAAUGGCUCACCUAGGCGACGAUACAUAGCCGACCUGAGAGGGUGAGCGCCAAAACUGGGCCAGCGCACGGCCCGAGACCCCUACGGGGGGCAGAGGUGGGGAUUCUGCGGCAAUGGGCGCAACCCUGACCGGUCAACGCCGCGUGAGUGAAGAAUUUUUUCGGAUCGUAAACCUUUGUUGUAGGUAAAGAAGGGUGGUGGGAGUGAAAAGUUCACACUGUGAGGUAAGCUAACCAAAAGGGCAGGGCUAACUAGGUG